GGCGCGGUAGCUCAGCCGGUUAGAGCGCAGGAUUCAUAAUCCUGAGGUCGGGUGUUCGAGUCACCCUCGCGCUACGA
rnacentral:tRNA from 1 species